rnacentral:tRNA from 3 species
GGUAAGGUGGCUGAGAGUUAAGCGGUGGGUUGUAGCCCCAUGUACAGGGGUUUAAAUCCCCUCUUUAUCA